UGAAUUGGUAUUGCAAAUGACA
rnacentral:miRNA from 1 species